rnacentral:rRNA from 1 species
UACGAAGGGGGCUAGCGUUGCUCGGAAUCACUGGGCGUAAAGCGCACGUAGGCGGCUUCUUAAGUCAGGGGUGAAAUCCUGGAGCUCAACUCCAGAACUGCCUUUGAUACUGAGAAGCUUGAGUCCGGGAGAGGGUAGUGGAAUUCCCGGUGUAGUGGUGAAAUGCGUAGAUAUCGGGAGGAACACCAGUGGCGAAGGCGACUACCUGGCCUGUCCUUGACGCUGAGGCGCGAAAGCUAGGGGAGCAAACGGG